AGAGUCAAAUCGAAUAUCAAUAGGUUAAUGCCAUUGAACCCAUAAAUUGGAGCAAAAUUAAGAAAAAAAAAAGAAUUCUAAAUAAUAAGUGUCGAACAAAGAGAAUUUCAAAUAAUAGACCAGAUCGCUAUGAGAUCUCAGAAAUCCUAACAUAAAUUCAAGAAAAAGAAAUCCAAUCUAAGACACUCAUCGGAUCUAGAUCGAGCACUAACCCCAGA
rnacentral:lncRNA from 1 species